rnacentral:rRNA from 1 species
GACGAACGCUGGCGGCGUGCUUAACACAUGCAAGUCGAGCGGUAAGGCCCCUUCGGGGGUACACGAGCGGCGAACGGGUGAGUAACACGUGGGUGACCUGCCCUCAGCUCUGGGAUAAGCCUGGGAAACUGGGUCUAAUACCGGAUAUGACUCCAUGACGCAUGUCGUGGGGUGGAAAGCCUUGUGCGGCUGGGGAUGGGGCCCGCGGCCUAUCAGCUUGUUGGUGGGGUGANGGCCUACCAAGGCGACGACGGGUAGCCGGCCUGAGAGGGCGACCGGCCACACUGGGACUGAGACACGGCCCAGACUCCUACGGGAGGCAGCAGUGGGGAAUAUUGCACAAUGGGCGAAAGCCUGAUGCAGCGACGCCGCGUGAGGGAUGACGGCCUCGG